GUAAAAGUCACCUGUCUGUUCAUCAGUGCAUUUGCCAAGAAGGUUUCCAGCAGGCAAGUUGACUGGGAAAUGGCUCUUAGGAGACGAAAACAAUGUUUCGGGUCGUUGCCUACACAACGGAGUACAAAAAUACCCAUCGGCUAUUGGACGUCACAAACGAUGUGUGUGCAGGGUAUGGGUCGACAUUUCCUCCUCCCGGUUCCUGCUUGAGCAGAUUAAAAAAAAAAAAAAAAAAAAAAAAAAAAA